UCCAAGGUCGUUGUCAGGGAAACAGAGAUGCCGAAGGCUUUGGUGAGAUGCUUGAUUGGCAAAGGAAAUUUUACUAAAGCCUUGAGGACAGAGUCUGGGCCCAAAGUUUCCAUCUCAACGCUCCCUCAUCUCCGUGGCUCCAAAGUCUGUUACAUUGAAGGCUCCCUACGUGUAGUGGACAGAGUGCUGAGGCUGAUUGGCAGGAGGUACAAAUGGCUGAGUCGCUGACACCUGCCCUCUGCAUGCC